GCCUGGGUGGCUCAGUCGGUUAGGCAUCUGACUUUGGCUCAGAUCAUGAUUCGUGGCUCGUGAGUUCGAGCCCCACGUCGGGCU
rnacentral:tRNA from 1 species